rnacentral:lncRNA from 1 species
AGUUUAAGUAUAAGAAGUUGCUGUAAGUAUAGGAUGCGCAUAGUGCAAUAAGGUAAAAGUAAAGGAAACGUUUUCUCCCCCUUCUCUCUGUUGUAGAAUAUGAUCUGGCUGUUGUAGAAUAUGUAGAUAGUUCAUGUCAUAAAAGCUUUUAAAGAAUCUUUUUUUUGUUCCUAUUGUCCUUUAGAUUGUUGAUGAUUAUAGAUAGUGUCUUUUGACGUAAAAUACAAUGAAGUGAGGUGUACAACACAUUAACUCCACUCUCAGGCUGUCAUACACCAGUAUAUUUGGUACACAAGUUCUUUCCGUAUUCGUGUCCGUAGGGUUUAAUUUUCGUUAGCGGAUUGCAGACCAUAUUAACAACAUUUUGGACUCUCUGUGGAAGAACUGCUAUGCAUAUUAAAGAAUAGAGGGAAAGUUGCUUCACUAACCACUGACACCUCCAGGCGCCAUAUCGUUUACUACUAAAUAUCUCAUAAACGAAAGUAUUAUCAAUUUAGUUAAUGUACUUGAUGUGUGAUGCUUUUAUCUCCGGCAAUUCACUAGAGUUUGUCUGAAUUUUAAAAGCGAUCACUCUCCCCCACGACGAAGUAAUUUAGAAAGACUUUUACCGGAAAGUUACCAUUAUAUGCAUAGGCAUAUGCUGCAUUCCAUUUUCUCGACAACCGCUACCGGUCUGUUAGUUUUUCCAUCUCUUCGGUUCCCCGGUUUUCGUUCGAGUUGUAAGAGGCAAAAACUUGUACCACAUACAAUUUGGAGGACCCAUUAUAUAAUUUGGAGCCCCAGAGGUGGACCUAAGUUGGUGGCAGAUGGGUUACCGAAAUAUGUUAAGCCUCGACAAAUAUAUACAUACAUAUAGGACCCAUUAUAUAAUUUAAUUGUGUCCCUCAAAAAUGAAUGCAGGAUGGUUUAGCAUGGAGAAUUGGCUACUUUCCGUGGCCUGCUGACCCAAGACCAAGACAGAGCCAACAUCAGCACUUUGCUCUUGUUUUUCCCCCCUUUCUACUAGGUGCCCCGCUAUGCUCAAAUUUUGUGUCCACCUCUGCCAGAGUCCCAUCCCAUCAAUAAGGGUGCGGCUUGAGUCAACUAAUACAAAUUUUUAGAAAUACCUUUAUCGAAGAUGAAAGUUACCAUUGUAUCCAUAGGCAUUAAUGAAAUUAACCGCAUCUCAUUUUCCUGACGUCUACAGCAGCAGCAGCAUUUUAAGGGGACUUAAAGAAGAGAGGUUAAAGAAAAUAGUGCAUAUUGUCAUCUUCUAAGUUUAUUUACUCCACCCUCAAAUUGACUCAUAUUUUUUUUCUUCUGAAACCUAACUCUUGGAAAAAUCUACAGGUAUAUUACCGAAGAGUGAAAAAGUAGUUUGCCGCAACAGCAAUUUACUCAACAAAGCUACUCCAGCUGUAACAAUCAAGCAACAAUUUGCCGUUAUUUUGAACCAUCUAUAUCUAAAAGAAAAUCACAAGUCAUGCAACCUGUCAUAGUUGACUAUUUAAAUAGGUCAUCAUGAUGACCAACUGUCAUAAUAUUUGCCUCAGAGAAACAUUGAAAAUCUCCUAAAUAUGGAUUAUUCCUUUUUUGGUAAAUCCUAAUUCUGGAUUAAUACUUAUGACCGUUGGUUCUCCCAAAAAAAAAAAAAAAAAGAAAUACAUGUUAGAAAAGAGCAUCAUUCACUAAGUCAGCUGCAGCAUACAAACGUCUUUAUGCAACUUACGGACAAAGAGGCACUCGUGCUUUCAAAGAGGACGAAACAGAGACGAUCAAAACAAAGGAAACCAAGAAACAUAUACUUAACUAUAUAUUACUACUAUAAAAAGACAAAAUUUUACAACCCAUUGCCCAUUGACACGAUAUUACAUACAGCUGGAAGAGGGGACGGGAGAAAAGGAUUAACAGAUAUCACAAAUCUAUAAUGUGCCGGACUAUCAACUAUACAUUCCCUUCAAAAUCUUCUAUGCAGAUNNNNN